GGCCAGACUCCUACGGGAGGCAGCAGUGAGGAAUAUUGGUCAAUGGGCGGGAGCCUGAACCAGCCAAGCCGCGUGAAGGAAGAAGGCGCCAAGCGUCGUAAACUUCUUUUGUCGGGGAACAAAGGGCGCCACGUGUGGCGUUGUGAGUGUACCCGAAGAAAAAGCAUCGGCUAACUCCGUGCCAGCAGCCGCGGUAAUACGGAGGAUGCGAGCGUUAUCCGGAUUUAUUGGGUUUAAAGGGUGCGUAGGCGCCGGGGAAGGUCGGCGGAAAAAGCCGGGGCCCCACCCCCGGCGAGCCGUUGAAACUGUCGGACUAGAGACGGCGAGAAGUACGCGGAAUGCGCGGUGUAGCGGUGAAAUGCAUAGAUAUCGCGCAGAACUCCGAUUGCGAAGGCAGCAUGCCGGCGCCACCCUGACGCUGAGGCACGAAAGCGUGGGUAUCGAACAGGAUUAGAUACCCGAGUAGU
rnacentral:rRNA from 1 species